rnacentral:rRNA from 1 species
AUGGCGGCUGAGCAGGAGGCACCGGCGCCGACACGAUCUCCGCACACCUACACCAUAGGCUACGCGCUGCAGCCCGACAAGCUGGACACCGUCAUCCAGCCGCCGCUCGUCGCCAUGGCAGCCGAGCGCGGCAUGCGGCUCCUCGCCGUCGACCCCUCCCACUCUCUCGUCGACCAGGGACCCUUCCACCUCCUCAUCCACAAGCUGUACGACGAGUCAUGGCGUGCACAGCUGGAGGCCUUCUCCGCGGCCCACCCCACCGUCCCCGUCGUCGACCCUCCCGCCGCCAUCGGCCACCUGCUCGACCGCGGCUCCAUGCUCGACGUCGUCUCCGAGCUCAACGCCCCCGUCCAUGUGGGCUCCAUGCUCGAAUAUGCGUGGACUUCUUCUUUAAGUCGGCUGACCAAGGUGCUGGUGGUGGCCAACACCAUCGGGAAGACAGAGCCGAUUUGCAGCCGCCGUGGCGUGGACAUUGCAAAGGCGGCGGCGGGCAGCGUCGAGCUGCGGGAGGUGGAGGAGGGGAAGAGGCGCCGGACACGGGCGGGGACGCCCACCAGCAGUCUGCGGCGGUGGACGAGCCAUGGAUUCAGCCGUAGGUUCGCUCGAUGCUGCUCCUGA